rnacentral:lncRNA from 1 species
UAAUGUUAUGUUGUGGUUUUUAUUAAUUGGGUUAUUUAUCAUGCAUUUAGUUUAGAGUUCUUUUUUUAUAACUAAUGAUGAUUUUAAUUGUACAACUUGUAAAGUGUCUUUUUAUUAUUACAAUGGCUGAUACAUGUAAUACUACGGGAUGGUAGAAAUAUGUCUAAUACACAUUUUUAAUCAAACUUCACCAUACGUCCACAUGUCUAUCUUGAUUUUCCCGUCUUUUUCUUUUCAUUUAAAGAUGAAAUUCAUGACACAUAUUUCUAUUUUUCUAUCACUAACCAUGGUUAUGUCAAACUAGCUUUAAUGAACGUUUUAUCCUUUUUCUAAGCAA